rnacentral:tRNA from 1 species
UGGAUAGCUCAGUUGGCUAGAGCAUGGUGCUGAUAACGCCAAGUUUGCAGGUUUGAUCCCCAUAUAGGACAG